rnacentral:rRNA from 1 species
GACGAACGCUGGCGGCGUGCUUAACACAUGCAAGUCGAACGGUCAGCACUGGAAGGUUCGCUGGAAGGUGCUGGUAGUGGCGGACGGGUGAGUAACGCGUGAGGACAUGGCUCCAGGAGGGGGAUAACGUUUGGAAACGGACGCUAAGACCCCAUAUGCCGGAAGGUGAAACUGGGCAACCAGCCUGGAGAGUGACUCGCGUCCUAUCAGCUAGUUGGUGGGGUGAAGGCCUACCAAGGCGAUGACGGGUAGCCGACCUGAGAGGGUGGCCGGCCACACUGGAACUGAGAUACGGUCCAGACUCCUACGGGAGGCAGCAGUGGGGAAUAUUGGGCAAUGGGCGAAAGCCUGACCCAGCGACGCCGCGUGGGGGAAGAAGUCUUUCGGGAUGUAAACCCUUGUUGUACGGGACGAAGGAAGUGACGGUACCGUACGAGGAAGCCCGGCAAACUACGUG